AACGCACAUUGCGCCCUUCGGUAUUCCGUUGGGCAUGCCUGUUCGAGCGUCAUUUGACCCUUCAAGCUCUGCUUGGUGUUGGGCGUUUGUUCCGCCUCCGCGCGUGGACUCGCCUCAAAUUCAUUGGCAGCCGGCAAGUUGGCUUCGUGCGCAGCACAUUGCGUCGCGACUCCAGCCUGUCUCCGUCCAGAAAGGUUCCUCAUCACUUUGACCUCGGAUCAGGUAGGGAUACCCGCUGAACUUAA
rnacentral:misc_RNA from 2 species